CGUGGGCAAUCUGCCCUGCGCUCUGGGACAAGCCCUGGAAACGGGGUCUAAUACCGGAUACUGAUCCUCGCAGGCAUCUGCGAGGUUCGAAAGCUCCGGCGGUGCAGGAUGAGCCCGCGGCCUAUCAGCUAGUUGGUGAGGUAACGGCUCACCAAGGCGACGACGGGUAGCCGGCCUGAGAGGGCGACCGGCCACACUGGGACUGAGACACGGCCCAGACUCCUACGGGAGGCAGCAGUGGGGAAUAUUGCACAAUGGGCGAAAGCCUGAUGCAGCGACGCCGCGUGAGGGAUGACGGCCUUCGGGUUGUAAACCUCUUUCAGCAGGGAAGAAGCGAAAGUGACGGUACCUGCAGAAGAAGCGCCGGCUAACUACGUGCCAGCAGCCGCGGUAAUACGUAGGGCGCAAGCGUUGUCCGGAAUUAUUGGGCGUAAAGAGCUCGUAGGCGGCUUGUCACGUCGGUUGUGAAAGCCCGGGGCUUAACCCCGGGUCUGCAGUCGAUACGGGCAGGCUAGAGUUCGGUAGGGGAGAUCGGAAUUCCUGGUGUAGCGGUGAAAUGCGCAGAUAUCAGGAGGAACACCGGUGGCCAAGGCGGAUCUCUGGGCCGAUACUGACGCUGAGGAACGAAAGCGUGGGGAGCCAACAGGAUUAGAUACCCUGGUAGUCCACGCCCUAAACGGGUGGGCACUAGGUGUGGGCAACAUUCCACGUUGUUC
rnacentral:rRNA from 1 species